CGCCAAGAUGACCGUAAAUCACAAUCGAGAUGACCGUAACAGAAUCAGCGAUUCAUAACAAGGCUGACCGUAACUGCUUUUAAGAUGACCGUAAUUUGUAAAUGAUGACCGUAACUUUUAAAGGAUGACCCUCAAUUCUAAGAAAUAUCCGUAAUUAUAUAACUAUCUUUUUGUAUCAAAUGAUUGCCAAAAGACAUGCAAAUGAACAGGAAGGGAAAACAUGCCACAAAAGCGCGAUAAAAUGACACCUUACAAGCAUAAUAAAAAAAAUGGGGUGCACAGCCUUCAACUGCUCGACAAAAGAUUUUUGUUUGUUUCUGGGAUUCCUUUUAAUGACAUAUAAUAAAUACACAUUUUUAAAAAUGCCAAAAAAUUGCAUGUACACCCAUUGAUAUUAUAUCGUCUUUCAUUUUGUCGUGCAAAUAAAAUAACAGAAAUAUUUUGAAAAUA
rnacentral:lncRNA from 1 species